rnacentral:rRNA from 2 species
ACUCCUACGGGAGGCAGCAGUGGGGAAUAUUGGACAAUGGGCGAAAGCCUGAUCCAGCCAUGCCGCGUGUGUGAAGAAGGCCUUUUGGUUGUAAAGCACUUUAAGCGAGGAGGAGGCUACUUGGAUUAAUACUCUAGGAUAGUGGACGUUACUCGCAGAAUAAGCACCGGCUAACUCUGUGCCAGCAGCCGCGGUAAU